GACGAACGCUGGCGGCGUGCUUAACACAUGCAAGUCGAACGGAAAGGCCCUGCUUUUGUGGGGUGCUCGAGUGGCGAACGGGUGAGUAACACGUGUGUAACCUGCCCUUGAUUUUGGGAUAACUUCAGGAAACUGGGGCUACUACCGGAUAGGAGCUCCUGCUGCAUGGUGGGGGUUGGAACGUUUAGGCGGUUGGGGAUGGACUCGCGGCUUAUCAGCUUGUUGGUGGGGUAGUGGCUUACCAAGGCUUUGACGGGUAGCCGGCCUGAGAGGGUGACCGGCGACAUUGGGACUGAGAUACGGCGCAGAGUCCUACGGGAGGCAGCAGUCGGGAAUAUGGCACAGUGGGCGGAAGCCGGAUGCAGCAACGCCGCGUGCGGGAUGACGGCCUUCGGGGUGUAAACCGCUGUCGCCUGUGACGAAGCGUGAGUGACGGUAAUGGAUAAAGAAGCACCGGCUAACUACGUG
rnacentral:rRNA from 1 species